GGGUGUUGGUAACAACCUUGGCAUAUCAAUCGUUUCUUCCCUUUCCCAACAUCACAGACGCCAUUCCAACUCCUCUAAACAGACGCCAUUGAAGUUGCAGACGCCAUUGAGAGACGAAGCUAAUCUUCUCCGGUGGGAUUGAUCAAAUCGACAGUAAGGUAAGUUUGCAUGAUCGUUUUUCUGAAGUUUGGAAUGUGGACAGUAGCAAUAAGUCAUGCAAGCAAGG
rnacentral:lncRNA from 1 species